CGUUGACGUCGUCCAUCUGUGAUUUGCGUUCUCCGAAUCACACCGAUGUCGUCAAAGGU
rnacentral:pre_miRNA from 1 species